GACGAACGCUGGCGGCGUGCUUAACACAUGCAAGUCGAACGGAAAGACCUGCUUUCCCUUGUUCAGUGCGUGUACGCGGGUGGCGAACGGGUGAGUAACACGUUAGUGAUCUGCCCCCAACUUGCGUAUAAGCCUGGGAAACUGGGUCUAAUUCCCGAUAGGACUGCAGGGUUGUUCCUUUGGUGGAAAACGAUUUUCUAGUGUUUGGUGAUGAGCUCGCGGCGUAUCAGCUUGGUGGUGGGGUAAUGUCCUACCAAGGCGGCGACGGGUAGUCGGACGGGGAGGGUGGACGGCCACAUUGGGACUGGGACCAGGCCCAGACUGGUACGGGAGGCAGCAGUGGGGCAUAAUGGACCAUGGGCGGAAGCGUGAAGCAGCGAGGGAGUGAGGAGGAUGACGGCAUUCGGGUAGUAAACUACUUUCGAACGAGAGGAAGCCACCUGGUUGGAAGGGUGGUGACGGUAGUGGUAGAAAAAGCACCGGCUAACUACGUG
rnacentral:rRNA from 1 species